GAUGAACGCUAGCGGCAGGCUUAAUACAUGCAAGUCGAGGGGUAGCAAGAUUGUAGCAAUACAAUUGUUGACGACCGGCAAACGGGUGCGGAACACGUACACAACCUUCCUACAAGUGGGGAAUAGCACAGAGAAAUUUGGAUUAAUACCCCGUAACAUAGCGAUGUGGCAUCACAUUGCUAUUAUAGCUUCGGCGCUUCAUGAUGGGUGUGCGGCUGAUUAGAUAGUUGGCGGGGUAACGGCCCACCAAGUCUACGAUCAGUAGCUGAUGUGAGAGCAUGAUCAGCCACACGGGCACUGAGACACGGGCCCGACUCCUACGGGAGGCAGCAGUAAGGAAUAUUGGACAAUGGACGCAAGUCUGAUCCAGCCAUGCCGCGUGAAGGAUUAAGGUCCUCUGGAUUGUAAACUUCUUUUAUAAGGGACGAAAAAAGGUCUUUCUAGAUCGUCUGACGGUACCUUAUGAAUAAGCACCGGCUAACUCCGUGCCAGCAGCCGCCGUAACAC
rnacentral:rRNA from 1 species